rnacentral:rRNA from 1 species
GAUGAACGCUGGCGGCGUGCUUAACACAUGCAAGUCGAACGAUGAAGCCCAGCUUGCUGGGUGGAUUAGUGGCGAACGGGUGAGUAACACGUGAGUAACCUGCCCUUAACUCUGGGAUAAGCCUGGGAAACUGGGUCUAAUACCGGAUAGGAGCGCCUACCGCAUGGUGGGUGUUGGAAAGAUUUAUCGGUUUUGGAUGGACUCGCGGCCUAUCAGCUUGUUGGUGAGGUAAUGGCUCACCAAGGCGACGACGGGUAGCCGGCCUGAGAGGGUGACCGGCCAAACUGGGACUGAGACACGGCCCAGACUCCUACGGGAGGCAGCAGUGGGGAAUAUUGCACAAUGGGCGAAAGCCUGAUGCAGCGACGCCGCGUGAGGGAUGACGGCCUUCGGGUUGUAAACCUCUUUCAGUAGGGAAGAAGCGAAAGUGACGGUACCUGCAGAAGAAGCACCGGCUAACUACGUG